rnacentral:pre_miRNA from 1 species
UAUUCAGCUGAAAAAGUUAUGAACAUAAAAGGUAGAACUCAUUAAGACAUACAACUUUUAUUUUGGUUAUUUCUUCAUCCGAUAAAGUGAUAGUAACAUUGUUCACAAAGUUUACAUAUCUCUCAUUUGGUUUUAUAAACUAUAAGAGAGAUAUGUACAUUUUGUAAACAAUAUUACUAUCGUUUUGUCGGAUGAAGAAAUAACCAAAAUAAAAGUUAUAGAUAUCGAUGAGUUAUACAAAUUUGUUGUUGAUGACUUUUUCAGUUGAAAUC